AAUGAACGCUGGCGGCAUGCCUUACACAUGCAAGUCGAACGGCAGCAUGACCUACCUUGCUAUGUUGAUGUCGCGUGGCGCACGUGUGUGUCAUGCAUCUGAACGUGCCUUUUAGUUGGGGAUAACGUAGCGAAAGUUACGCUAAUACCGCAUAUUCUCUGAGCCGGAAAGCAGAGGACCUUCGGGCCUUGCGCUAGACGAUCGUCCGAUGUCGGAUUAGCUAGUUGGUGAGGUAAAGGCUAACCAAGGCAACGAUCCAUAACGGGUCUGAGAGGUGGGAGCGGCACACUUGGAAUGAGAAAAGGGCCAGAAUCCUAAGGGAGGGAGGAGUGGGGAAUUUUGGACAAUGGGCGCAAGCCUGAUCCAGGCAUGGCGCGGGAGUGAAGAAGGCCUUCGGGUUGUAAAGAUCUUUUGGCUGGGAAGAAAUAGAACCGUAAAAUACAGGGUGUGGAUGAAGGUACCAGAAUAAGAAGCACAGGCUAAAUAAGUG
rnacentral:rRNA from 1 species